AAGGUGUUCGUUAAAAACAUCAGGUUAUGGGCCCAGAGGUCGCCAAGGGAAGCUGCUAACACGUUUCUUUUGGGAGUCAUAAACAGAAUUGUGGGAUUCACAAUGGAAGAUAGACUGUUUAUUGACAAGCUGAGCGGACCGGAGAAUUGGGCAACGUGGAAAUUUCAACUGAAGCACCUGUUGAAGGCAAAAGGACUGUGGGGUAUGGUACAGGAGACGGAGCAGUUAGCUGCGGAUGCUAAUGCCCAAGCACGAGCUGAAUUUGAACGGAAGAAAGAAAAGGCAUUUUCAGUGCUGGUACUGAAUGUGAGACGCUUUACCUUGAUUGGAGGGACCACACUGGAGGUGCGAGUCCGCCGUGUAAUGGCUUAUGCCAUUACAAACGAGCUGGCCUCGGUACUAAACUGGGCAGGGAAAAAAACCAAGGACCAGACAAAGCAAAAAAGGGCAUUUAAAGAUACAGCGCUCUGCAAAUGCAUAUUUGAUGGCCUGACGCAACAGUUAGGGGCAAACUCUAUGUCCGAGUUUGUCUUUGCACAAGCAGUGCAGAAAUGGCUCCGAUACGCCCCAGAUCGUUUGGGUGGUGCAGGACGCACAUCAUGCAUCCCCAUCCCAGAGUAAAAAAUUACAAACUUCUGUGAAACAUAUAAAUGUAAAUAGGAAACUGUCUUUUAAUAAAGUAUUUAGCA
ensembl:lncRNA